AUGAAGUCUCUUGCGUUUGGCUUCUUUUACUCAGCUUAGUAUGUCUGAGACAUGUCUAUGGUUUUUUUUGUUUUGUUUUGUUUGGUGGGGGGAUGAUUUGGCUUUGGAGCUUAGGAGGAUCUUAGUUCCCGGACCUGGGACUGAACCUGUGUCCUAGGCAGUGAAAGUCCUAACUGCUGGGCCGCCGAAGAAUUCCCUAUGUCCAUGUUGUGUUUGACUUUCCUAGUGGCUCUGGUAAAGAAUUUGCCUGCCAAUGCAGGAGCCGCAGGUUCGAUCCUUGGAUCAGAUUCACUCUGGAUGUUUUCCUGGAGCCAGGGUCAUGCUGCGUGGAUGACUGUGCAUUUCGCUAUUUGCUCAGGCAGGUGUCACCUCGCCGUUCAGGAGUCUUGGCCUCAGAGGCUGUUGAGGACGGUGCAUAUGACCUGACUCUCCACUGACAGCCAACUGGCCGCGUGAGGGCGCCGGUGCCGGACCCAGCACCUGGUGUGACGAAUGGAGCUCAGAGUCGCCAUAUCUGUGAUGGUUGAAUCACAUGCACUUGGUUGGGAAGAGAGGAAAGAGAUGAAACUCUGUGACUGUGA